rnacentral:rRNA from 1 species
AUUGAACGCUGGCGGCAUGCUUUACACAUGCAAGUCGAACGGCAGCACGGGAGCAAUCCUGGUGGCGAGUGGCGAACGGGUGAGUAAUAUAUCGGAACGUGCCCAGUCGUGGGGGAUAACGUAGCGAAAGCUACGCUAAUACCGCAUACGAUCUAUGGAUGAAAGCGGGGGAUCGCAAGACCUCGCGCGAUUGGAGCGGCCGAUAUCAGAUUAGGUAGUUGGUGGGGUAAAAGCCUACCAAGCCUUCGAUCUGUAGCUGGUCUGAGAGGACGACCAGCCACACUGGAACUGAGACACGGUCCAGACUCCUACGGGAGGCAGCAGUGGGGAAUUUUGGACAAUGGGCGCAAGCCUGAUCCAGCAAUGCCGCGUGCAGGAUGAAGGCCUCGG